GCAAGUCGAGGGGUAACAUUGGUGCUUGCACCAGAUGACGACCGGCGCACGGGUGCGUAACGCGUAUAGAAUCUGCCUUAUACAGGAGGAUAGCCUUUAGAAAUGAAGAUUAAUACUCCAUAAUAUAGAGAUGUGGCAUCACAUUUUUAUUAAAGAUUUAUCGGUAUAAGAUGACUAUGCGUCCUAUUAGCUAGAUGGUAAGGUAACGGCUUACCAUGGCAACGAUAGGUAGGGGCCCUGAGAGGGGGAUC
rnacentral:rRNA from 1 species